AGACAUCGUGAUCUCAAACUUCAUGAUCUCACUUCAUUAUCUCAUAGAUCAAGCAUUAUUUCAAAAUCAGAAGAUAAGCUUGGAAAUCUAGAAGAUAAAGAUGUAUUGAAGGAUGUUUUAUUUACAUUCACAAAAGUAAUUACUAGAUUCAAUGCCAAGUUCAUCAAGGUUUCAAGAGAUUUUCAAGGCCUUACAAAAUCAUUAUCAUCAUUCCAAAGAGCUGCGAAAUUUAUUAAUCAAAAGGAACAUGGAAGCCAUUUGAAGACAAGUUCAUGGGCAAAAUUCAUUAGUCUCUUUGCUCCCCACUUAAUUUUCUUCAAGAUCCUUCACCAAUCUUCAUGUUCCAUCCUUCAUUAA